AUGAUACGCGAGGAACCUUACCAAGGCUUAAAUGGGAAUGACAGGUUUAGAAAUAGACUUUUCUUCGGACAUUUUUCAAGGUGCUGCAUGGUCGUCGUCAGCUCGUGCCUGAGGUGUUAGGUUAAGUCCUGCAACGAGCGCAACCCCCGUCACUAGUUGCCAUCAUUAAGUUGGGGACUCUAGUGAGACCGCCUACGCAAGUAGAGAGGAAGGUGGGGAUGACGUCAAAUCAUCACGGCCCUUACGCCUUGGGCCACACACGUAAUACAAUGGCCGGUACAGAGGGCAGCUACACUGCGAAGUGAUGCAAAUCUCGAAAGCCGGUCUCAGUUCGGAUUGGAGUCUGCAACUCGACUCUAUGAAGCCGGAAUCGCUAGUAAUCGCGCAUCAGCCAUGGCGCGGUGAAUACGUUCCCGGGCCUUGUACACACCACCCGUCAAGCCAUGGAAGUCUGGGGUACCUGAAGUCCGGUGACCGUAACAGGAG
rnacentral:rRNA from 2 species